rnacentral:lncRNA from 1 species
GACAGAUCCCAGGACAGGGACAGGGACACUCCCAGGACAGCCCUGGACACCGGACACGGUCGGAUCCCGGCUGUGGAUCCGGGCCCGAUUCCCUCCUGGAUGCUCUGGGACCAACGAGGGCGUGACCAGAUCCCCCUGGGCCCCACAAAUGGGUCCCAGACCCCUCAAAGGGGUCCCAGAUCCCUUCAUGUAUCCCAGACCCCCACAAAUGGAUCCCAAACCACUUCUGGACCCCCCUGGACAAAUCCCAGAUCCUGCAGAUGGAUCCCGGACUCUUCAAAUGGAUUCUGGACUCGCAGGAUGGGUCCCAGACCCCCCUGGACACCCCAAAUGGAUCCU